rnacentral:rRNA from 1 species
GAAUUCGCCCUUAGAGUUUGAUCCUGGCUCAGGACGAACGCUGGCGGCGCGCCUAACACAUGCAAGUCGAACGAGCGAGAGAGAGCUUGCUUUCUUGAGCGAGUGGCGAACGGGUGAGUAACGCGUGAGGAACCUGCCUCAAAGAGGGGGACAACAGUUGGAAACGACUGCUAAUACCGCAUAAGCCCACGGCUCGGCAUCGAGCAGAGGGAAAAGGAGCAAUCCGCUUUGAGAUGGCCUCGCGUCCGAUUAGCUGGUUGGUGAGGUAACGGCCCACCAAGGCGACGAUCGGUAGCCGGACUGAGAGGUUGAACGGCCACAUUGGGACUGAGACACGGCCCAGACUCCUACGGGAGGCAGCAGUGGGGAAUAUUGCACAAUGGGGGAAACCCUGAUGCAGCGACGCCGCGUGGAGGAAGAAGGUCUUCGGAUUGUAAACCUCUGUUCUAAGUGACGAACAAAUGACGGUAGCUUAGGAGAAAGCCCCGGCUAACUACGUGCCAGCAGCCGCGGUAAUACGUAGGGGGCAAGCGUUGUCCGGAAUUACUGGGUGUAAAGGGAGCGCAGGCGGAGAAGCAAGUCAGUGGUGAAAACGAUGGGCUUAACUCAUCGACUGCCAUUGAAACUGUUUCCCUUGAGUGAAGUAGAGGCAGGCGGAAUUCCGAGUGUAGCGGUGAAAUGCGUAGAUAUUCGGAGGAACACCAGUGGCGAAGGCGGCCUGCUGGGCUUUAACUGACGCUGAGGCUCGAAAGUGUGGGGAGCAAACAGGAUUAGAUACCCUGGUAGUCCACACUGUAAACGAUGAUU